AUGAUUUUUUUCCAAGUCCUUCCAUUUCCUUAUGAAUUGGGCAGUGCCAUUCCUUCUGAUGAAGGCAUAGAAUUCCAUAGUGUGUAUCUACCACAUUUUCCUGAUCCAGUAGUCUACUGAGAAGCAUCUAGGCUGGUUCCAUGUUUUAGCCAUGACAAAUUGUGCUGCAAUGAACAUAGUUGUGUUGGUGGCUUUAGUGUGGUCUUGCUUGUAGUAUUUUGGGUAGAUGCCCAAAAGUGGGGCUGCUGGGUCAUAGGGGAGCUCUGUGUUUAGCCUUCUUAGGAACCUCUUUCCACAGGGGUUGAACAAGCUUGCAUUCCCACCAACAGUGUAGUAGGGUUCCCUUUUGGCCACAUCUUCUCCAGCAUGUUAUUGAUGGAUUUCGUGAUAAUGGAUGUUCUUACUGGCGUGAGGUGGAAUCUCAAUGUUGUUUUGAUUUGCAUUUCUUUUGUGGCCAGUAAUGUAGAUCACACCAAACUGAGAAGUU